GUGUUUGGCAGCACUGAGUUCCAGUAGACUUCAGAAGGUAGAGCUGCAUGGCUUGCUUGCACUGCUAUCUGCAUCAAAAUAUAAGACAAAUUCUUGUCAGAUUCUCAUAUGGAGAAGAAAGCAAUGCUACCGAGAGGGCCCAAGAAUCUGAACGCUUAAUUUUCAUGAAGAGGCGUACAAGGGUUGUAAUGCAACACAUCACCUGUAUCGAUGACUAGUUUAAUUUCUUCAACUACCCUUGCUUACAUGAAUUAAAUGCUGUUAGAUAAAUGGCACUGAUGGGAUGGAGACUGAGAGGGGGGGUGAGAGAUUGAGUACUUAGAGUGCCGUGUUGAAGCAAAAUAAUUUAGUGAUGAUUUCAUGACAUGUGAGGGAUGUAUUACAUUGUUUCCAUCCGAGAUGGUGUAAUUCAGGAUUAUUUCCUACUGCUCCAAGA